UACGUAGGGGGCAAGCGUUGUCCGGAUUUACUGGGCGUAAAGGGCGCGUAGGCGGCCAGCACAAGUCAGUUGUGAAAUCUCCGGGCUUAACUCGGAAAGGUCAACUGAUACUGUGCGGCUAGAGUGCAGAAGGGGCAACUGGAAUUCUCGGUGUAGCGGUGAAAUGCGUAGAGAUGUGGAGGAACACCGAUGGCGAAGGCAGCCCCCUGGGCUGAGAUUGACGCUCAGGCACGAAAGCGUGGGGAGCAAACAGG
rnacentral:rRNA from 1 species